ensembl:lncRNA
CGGUGUCUUCCGUCAGAGACCAGCGCCCCUCGGUUCCGCCGCCCCCCACCCCAGAGGUGACGGACGAGGAGCUGGUCCGGACGGUCACUGACGGAGAAAUGGCUGAUGCUUGAAGGACAAAGGUAGGUUUAUCAGGUGAUGUAGCCGUCUUUGUUGGUGGUAGACGCGCCGUCCUCACUCACGUGUUGGUAAUGUGGAUUUGAUUAAACUCCCCAUGUAGCACACCUCGCCAUGUAGCACACCUCUUAACAGUCGCCUUGUAGCACACCUCUUAACGGUCACCUUGUAGCACACCUCUUAACGGUCGCCUUGUAGCACACCUCUUAACGGUCGCCUUGUAGCACUAAACCAUUUUAUCUAAUCAACGGCAUGCUGCACGUCAUGAAUGCUCAGACUCACUUAGUCUCGCUUGCCCGUGUGUUGCCCCGUCACUCUCAUUGUGCUGAUGACGUUUGGUUGUGCGUGACCGUGUCUGAAGCUGGCGUACAGGUCCUUCAGGCCCUCCCGCUCCCGCUGGAGACGCCUCCGUCUCCGCCUCCCCCGGCACCGUCCUCCACCCCUCCACCACCACCACCACCACCACCUCCACCACCACCACCACCACCACAGGUUGCGGCUGCUCCACCGACGGUCGGGCUUCCAGCUCGGGCUCCGGCGCAGACCAGGGUGGAGCCUUGUGGCGUCUCCGUGGAGGAGACGCCGUGCGGGGAGGCCACCCUGGCGCCGGGGCCCAAGACGAAGAGGAGGAAGACGACGACGACGAAGGGCGGCGUGGAGCAGCCGGCAACGCCCGCUCCUGCUCGGGCUGAGACCCGGUUGGCUGAGGGCUGGCGGACAGCCCUCACCGGGGAGGAGCAGGAGCUGAACAGUAGGACCCUCUCGCUGUGGUUCACCCGGACGCAGCGAGAGAAGGAGAGGGCUGUGUUGACUCCAGGCGUUGCAGCAGACGGAGGACGACCACCGGCGGCGGCCGCGGCGACAGCGCCGGGCCCGGCCUCGGCAGCGGCGGUGGAUCGUCCGGCGGCAGCAGCGACGGCGACGUCGGCGGUGCCUCAAGGCCGGGCGACGCCAGCGGCAGCGAGGGGGGCGGCGGUGGCCCCGGCAGCGGCCCCGGCUGUGGCAGCACCGGGGCCCGCUCUGCCGGCGCCCAGACGGCUACUGGCGCCUCGACAGCCCGCCCCCUCGGCUGCUUACCCGGCCUUCCUGCCGACUGCUGCUGCCGCAGCUGCAACUGGACCUUUAAGAGCAGCACAGCCUCUCCUUGUGGACCUCUUACUGCCCCGGCAGAGUGUGUGGGUGCUCCCCGUCCCCGUCCUGACGCUCCCUCGGACACUGCCGGCUCCACACGUCCUCCCUCCGCCGCUGGCCGCCGCACAGCACGCCGGCCCUGAGCUGCCGGUAGCCCUGCCCGCCGCGCAGCACGCCGGCCCUGAGCUGCCUGUACCCCUGCCCGCCGCACAGCACGCCGGCCCUGAGCUGCCUGUACCCCUGCCCGCAGCACAGCACGCCGGCCCUGAGCUGCCGGUAGCCCUCAAAACGGUAGAACGGAGGAGGCUGAACGCCAAGCGGCGGGCGGAGGCACAGCCGGGCACAACAUACUCCUCCCGGGCCGGCGUGCCACAGGUGCAUAAGUGCAGUAAAUGCGGCCAGCCGAGGCGGAGGGAGACCGGACACUCCCGCCACGGCAGAGAAUACUUCUGCUCCGUCGCGGCGGGUCAGAGUGUGGAGGACUGGCUGAGGGAGAAGAGGAGCGGGACCAGGGUGGAGCCCCGCACUGAUGCGCACUCUUGCCGGGGAUGGUGUUGUACAUAGUUCUCUUUUGUAUAUAGUUGUUUUUCUGUUGUGUAUAUAGUUAUUUUGCUGUGUUAGUGUAUAUAGUUGUUUGCUGUAUAUAGUUUUCAUUUUGCAGGGUUAGUGUGUAUAUAGUUCUUUGUUUUGUUGGAUAGCUUCUAAGUUAGUGCAUACACACUGCCUU